rnacentral:antisense_RNA from 1 species
UUUCUCUUGCUGCUGCCAUGUAAGAAGUGCCUUUUGCCUCCUGCCGUGAUUCUGAGGCCUCCCCAGCCAUGUGGAACUGGCUCAGUGUGGUCAAAAGAAGACUAUAGAAUCAAGGAUGAAGAGAAGGAACAGAAUAAAAGGACGUCUCAGCAGGAGGCUCUGUGACUACUAUGUGUGAGUGACCAAGCUGAAGAAGCCCCUGUCUUCCAGCGCAUGUUAUUCCCAUGACAGAUGCUAAAAGUUCAAGGGGAGAGCUACAAGAAGUGUGUUUUCCUGUGGCUACUUUCAUGUCUGGAUGCAAUGCCUAGACCUGCAUCCAUCUUGCGACCAACCUGAAGAUGAACAGAAGGGAAGGAAGGAUGGCCCAAUAGCCUGGGAAGAACUGGUGUUCCUGAUACCAUCAUUCACCACAGAAUCUACAAUCCCGGAACCCCCCAUCCUUAACCAGGGAAUCUACAAUCCUAUCUCUAGACCCUUUGUCCAGAUGCUAUAGUUUCUUUGUUCAAUCUAGUUUGUGUCAGGAUUUCUGUUCAUUACAUCAAAAGUAUUCUAAUA